ensembl:misc_RNA 7SK 7SK RNA
GGAUGUGGGGGUGAUCUGGCUGCAACCUCUGUCACCAUGGAUAGCCAGGGCUGGUCCUGGCUGGGUGGUCUCCCUUCCUCCCUCACCCCUCCACAUGCAUCCUCCUGAAGCUGCAGUGGGAGAGGACAACUACCCCAUGGAGGAGGACCUCUUCCUCCGUCAAGGGUGUUCGAGGAGCUGUGCUCCCCUGCUAGAACCUCCAAACAAGCUCUCCAAAAAAUGUAAGAAAGCUAUGCAUCGACUUUUUUCCAUUUCUUCUCCCAUAGAUUUCAUGGCUGAGUCUGUA